rnacentral:rRNA from 1 species
AUUGAACGCUGGCGGCAUGCCUUACACAUGCAAGUCGAACGGCAGCACGGGAGCUUGCUCCUGGUGGCGAGUGGCGAAUGGGUGAGUAAUACAUCGGAACGUACCCUGAAGUGGGGGAUAACGUAGCGAAAGUUACGCUAAUACCGCAUAUUCUGUGAGCAGGAAAGAGGGGGAUCGCAAGACCUCUUGCUUUAGGAGCGGCCGAUGUCAGAUUAGCUAGUUGGUGAGGUAAAGGCUCACCAAGGCGACGAUCCGUAGCGGGUCUGAGAGGAUGAUCCGCCACACUGGGACUGAGACACGGCCCAGACUCCUACGGGAGGCAGCAGUGGGGAAUUUUGGACAAUGGGCGCAAGCCUGAUCCAGCCAUGCCGCGUGAGUGAAGAAGGCCUGGUUGUAAGCUCUUCGUGGAGAAU